ensembl:miRNA
CUACUUUUCAAACAGCAAGGGUCUGCUGAGCAUGGUGGUGAAUGCCUGUAAUUCCAGCACUUGGGAGGCUGAGGCAGGAGGAU